AGUGAACGCUGGCGGUAGGCCUAACACAUGCAAGUCGAACGGCAGCACAGUAAGAGCUUGCUCUUACGGGUGGCGAGUGGCGGACGGGUGAGGAAUACAUCGGAAUCUACUUUUUCGUGGGGGAUAACGUAGGGAAACUUACGCUAAUACCGCAUACGACCUACGGGUGAAAGCAGGGGAUCUUCGGACCUUGCGCGAUUGAAUGAGCCGAUGUCGGAUUAGCUAGUUGGCGGGGUAAAGGCCCACCAAGGCGACGAUCCGUAGCUGGUCUGAGAGGAUGAUCAGCCACACUGGAACUGAGACACGGUCCAGCCUCCACGGGAGGCAGCAGUGGGGAAUAUUGGACAAUGGGCGCAAGCCUGAUCCAGCCAUACCGCGUGGGUGAAGAAGGCCUUCGGGUUGUAAAGCCCUUUUGUUGGGAAAGAAAAGCAGCAGGUUAAUACCCCGCUGUUCUGACGGUACCCAAAGAAUAAGCACCGGCUAACUUCGUG
rnacentral:rRNA from 1 species